AUUGAACGCUGGCGGCAUGCCUUACACAUGCAAGUCGAACGGCAGCACGGGAGCAAUCCUGGUGGCGAGUGGCGAACGGGUGAGUAAUGUAUCGGAACGUGCCCAGUCGUGGGGGAUAACGCAGCGAAAGCUGUGCUAAUACCGCAUACGAUCUAUGGAUGAAAGCGGGGGAUCGCAAGACCUCGCGCGAUUGGAGCGGCCGAUAUCAGAUUAGGUAGUUGGUGGGGUAAAGGCCCACCAAGCCUGCGAUCUGUAGCUGGUCUGAGAGGACGAGCAGCCACACGGGGACUGAGACACGGCCCAGACGCCUACGGGAGGCAGCAGUGGGGAAUUUUGGACAAUGGGCGCAAGCCUGAUCCAGCAAUGCCGCGUGCAGGAUGAAGGCCUUCGGGUUGUAAACUGCUUUUGUACGAGACGAAAAGACUCGCUCUAUACAGUGGGUACAUGACGGUAUCGUAAGAAUAAGCACCGGCUAACUACGUGCCAGCAGCCGCCGUAA
rnacentral:rRNA from 1 species